rnacentral:rRNA from 1 species
UACGUAGGGCGCAAGCGUUGUCCGGAAUUAUUGGGCGUAAAGAGCUCGUAGGCGGCCUGUUGCGUCCGCUGUGAAAUCCCGGGGCUCAACCCCCGGGCCUGCAGUGGAUACGGGCUGGCUAGAGGCAGGCAGGGGAGAACGGAAUUCCUGGUGUAGCGGUGAAAUGCGCAGAUAUCAGGAGGAACACCGAUGGCGAAGGCAGGUCUCUGGGCAUUAACUGACGCUGAGGAGCGAAAGCAUGGGGAGCGAACAGG